GUGUUGUAUAAACUGGCGCUUGUUCCUCUGAAGCAUUACCCCUUCUUUCUUGCUCAGCUUGCUACUUUCGGGAAUCUUCCACAACCCAUAUUGGAAUAGUUUAUUCAGGUCUUGAGAAAGUGUGGGAUGUGAAACCUUUGGUUAAUGGGAAAGAGAUUAUGAGUGUUUUGCAGCUUAAAUCUGGAUGGCCACUUAUUAGGGAGUGGGUAAGGUAAUCUUUAUGCAUCU